GAUGAACGCUGGCGGCGUGCCUAAUACAUGCAAGUCGAGCGAACAGAUGAGGAGCUUGCUCCUCUGACGUUAGCGGCGGACGGGUGAGUAACACGUGGAUAACCUACCUAUAAGACUGGGAUAACUUCGGGAAACCGGAGCCAAUACCGGAUAAUAUAUUGAACCGCAUGGUUCAAUAGUGAAAGACGGUUUUGCUGUCACUUAUCGAUGGAUCCGCGCCGCAUUAACUAGUUGGUAAGGUAACGGCUUACCAAGGCAACGAUGCGUAGCCGACCUGAGAGGGUGAUCGGCCACACUGGAACUGAGACACGGUCCAGACUCCUACGGCAGGCAGCAGUAGGGAAUCUUCCGCAAUGGGCGAAAGCCUGACGGAGCAACGCCGCGUGAGUGAUGAAGGUCUUCGGAUCGUAAAACUCUGUUAUUAGGGAAGAACAAAUGUGUAAGUAACUAUGCACGUCUUGACGGUACCUAAUCAGAAAGCCACGGCUAACUACGUG
rnacentral:rRNA from 1 species